GAUGAACGCUGGCGGCGUGCCUAAUACAUGCAAGUCGAACGAACGGACGAGAAGCUUGCUUCUCUGAUGUUAGCGGCGGACGGGUGAGUAACACGUGUAUAACCUACCUAUAAGACUGGUAUAACUUCGGGAAACCGGAGCUAAUACCGGAUAAUAUUUUGAACCGCAUGGUUCAAAAGUGAAAGACGGUCGUGCUGGCUCUUAUAGAGGGAUCCCCGCUGCAUUAGCUAGUUGGGAAGGUAACGGGUUUCCAAGGCUACGAUGCAUAGACGACCUCAGAGGGGGGUAGGCCACCCUGGAGGUUGGCCGCCGUCCUGGCGCCUGCGAGAGGCCGCAGUAGCGUAUGUUCCGCAGUGGGCGGAAGCAUGACGGAGCAGCGCCGCGUGAGUGGUGAAGGUCUUCGGAGCGUAAAGCUCUGUUAUUAGGGAAGAACAUAUGUCUAAGUAGAUGUGCACAGCUUGACGGUACCUAAUCAGAAAGCCACGGCUAACUACGUG
rnacentral:rRNA from 1 species